GACGAACGCUGGCGGCGUGCCUAAUACAUGCAAGUAGAACGCUGAAGGAGGAGCUUGCUUCUCUGGAUGAGUUGCGAACGGGUGCGUAACGCGUAGGUAACCUGCCUUGUAGCGGGGGAUAACUAUUGGAAACGAUAGCUAAUACCGCAUAAGAGUAGAUGUCGCAUGACAUUUGCUUAAAAGUUGCAAUUUCAUCACUACCAGAGGGACCUGCGUUGUAUUAGCUAGUUGGUGAGGGAACGGCUCACCAAGGCAACGAUACAUAGCCGACCUGAGAGGGAGGUCGGCCACACUGGGACUGAGACACGGCCCAGACUCCUACGGGAGGCAGCAGUAGGGAAUCUUCGGCAAUGGGCGGAAGUCUGACCGAGCAACGCCGCGUGAGUGAAGAAGGUUUUCGGAUCGUAAAGCUCUGUUGUAAGAGAAGAACGAGUGUGAGAGUGGAAAGUUCACACUGUGACGGUAUCUUACCAGAAAGGGACGGCUAACUACGUG
rnacentral:rRNA from 1 species